GCUGGGCAUGGUGGCGCAUGCCUAUAGUCCUAGCUACUUGGGAGGCUGAGACAGGAGAAUAGUUUGAACCCAGGAGGUGGAGGUUGCAGUGAGCUGAGAUUGUGCCACUGCACUCCAGCCUGGGUGACAGAGCGAGACUCUGUCUCAA
ensembl:misc_RNA Metazoa_SRP Metazoan signal recognition particle RNA